GAAUAUGAAACGAUAUAUUGUAAUUAGUUUCGACCUAAUUUUAGGUAUUUGAUACCCUUAUUCU
rnacentral:tRNA from 2 species